rnacentral:tRNA from 1 species
GGUAGUAUAGCUCAGUGGCAGAGCAUGCACUGAACAUGUGGGAGGCCCAGGGUUUGAUCUCCAGCACUACCA